AAGAACUCAAUGAAAUUUUAGCGACAUGUCUAUGUACCCCAGUUGCAAUCGCACGGGCAAUUACUUACUAAGAAACAAAAUACGGACGAUGCACAGUUUGCUUCCAGAGCCCAGGCCAUGAACACACCACAGAGAAGGUUGGACAAACACAAUCCACUAGUCUGGUCUUUUUAUUCCACCACAAGAGAAGAGACACUCGAGCACAACAUAAUCCGGCUACAAAUACCUCAGUCUAGUGCUAGUAGCGGCAGCAGGCAGCAUAGCGGCCGGCCGUGCGUGCAGCGCUGUAGGUGCAGGCUACUCGAACUUGUAGUGCUUGUCGACGGCCUCGGUGACGUCCCAGGUGCAGCUCAUCCCCUUGGGGAAGACCACCAGGUCCCCCGCCGCGAUCUCCACGAACCCCUCCUCACCGUCCGGGUACACCUUCACCUUCCCCUGCAGC
rnacentral:lncRNA from 1 species